UGGGGAAUCUUGCACAAUGGGGGAAACCCUGAUGCAGCGACGCCGCGUGAGCGAUGAAGCCCUUCGGGGUGUAAAGCUCUUUCGGCAGGGACGAUUAUGACGGUACCUGCAGAAGAAGGUGCGGCUAACUACGUGCCAGCAGCCGCGGUAAUACGUAGGCACCAAGCGUUGUUCGGAAUUACUGGGCGUAAAGAGUGCGUAGGCGGUCGGCCAAGUUCGGUGUGAAAUCUCCCGGCUCAACUGGGAGGGUGCGCCGAAGACUGGCUGGCUAGAGUGUGGGAGAGGAAAGUGGAAUUCCUGGUGUAGCGGUGAAAUGCGUAGAUAUCAGGAGGAACACCUGAGGUGUAGACGGCUUUCUGGACCAUAACUGACGCUGAGGCACGAAAGCGUGGGUAGCAAACAGG
rnacentral:rRNA from 1 species